UAAUAAUAUUCUCGAGAAUGAAAAUGCAUCUUACUGUGACUUAUUUGUUAGUUUGCUGUAAGGUCUCGAAUACAUUGCUUUGCAUUCUUCUCAUCUUGCAUUAUCAGAUGAUUUUAUCAUUCAUCAGAGCCUUUAUAAACUUUGACAAUUUAUAAAAUAAUUAUUCUCUUCUCUCUUUUCCAGUGUCGAUUGCCGUCUGAUUGUUGUAGUUUGUGUCUACAGCAGCUACUGUAUAUACACCCCAAAGGCUCUUUUAAGAGCCACAUCACGAGAGCGUCUUUGGCUUUUGGCACCUACAUACAACCCAAGGCUCUUUUCAGAGCCACAUCGCCCAGCAUCCUUGGCUUUCACCUACAUACACCCCAAGGCUCUUUUCAGAGCCACUCGCCUAGCAUCACACAGCAUUAUUUUGUGUCACCCUUCACUGCCGCCUCCACAGAGUUUUUUCCCUGCCAUCUAUUACUUUAAGCAAGGCACAUCUAUGGCCAAUCCUCUGUGCCAUUCAUCAGACACCAUCAGAGUUUUUCCAGUGAAACCGACACUUGGUCCAUCCAAGCCAACAAACCCGAAUUUCAUGAAGAAUCCAUAAACGACAAUCAAGAAGUUCUUGGAAGUGCUUAGAAGGGGGAAAAAAAAUAACAUUAACUUUCUUGAGAACUAGAAAUAUAAAUUUACUGAUUUACUGACAUUUACUUCACAUGUCGACAAAAACUGUUACCGUAAUUAGGAUGUUGCUCAUUAACCACAUUCAUGUUAACCUAUCUAUGUUUUUUUUUUUUUUUACUGUAAAAUAUUCAGAUUUUUUUCCUAUGAUGUACAAGGCUUUGAUUUUCAAAUUAUGCCUUUACUGUUUUAUAUACAAUAAUGAAUCCAUAUUUUAAUGUUUAAUAUACUGUACAUACUUAAAUUCAUUAAACUCUGAUGGCGUUCGAGAUAAAGGUAUUAAACCUCCUGA